AUUGAACGCUGGCGGCAGGCCUAACACAUGCAAGUCGAGCGAGAGGCGGACGGGUGAGUAAUGUAUGGGGACUGCCUGAUGGACGGGGAUAAAUACUGGAAAAGGUGGCUAAUACCGCUUAACAUCCGUUAACCCAUAUGGGAUUAGCUUGUAGGAGGGUUAAAGGCUCACCUAGGCGACGCCCCCUAGCUGGUCUGAGAGGAUGAUAAGCCACACUGGGACUGAGACACGGCCCAGACUCCUACGGAGGCAGCAGUGGGGAAUAUUGCACAAUGGGCGCAAGCCUGAUGCAGCCAUGCCGCGUGUAUGAAGAAGGCCUUCGGGUUGUAAAGUACUUUCAGUCGGGAGGCGUUACCUACAGAAGAAGCACCGGCUAACUCCGUGCCAGCAGCCGCGGUAAUAC
rnacentral:rRNA from 1 species